rnacentral:pre_miRNA from 1 species
UUUACCCUGGGAUCACGUUAAAAUGCAGGUUCUGAUUCACAGGUCUGGGGCGGGGGCUAAGAUUCUGCAUUUCUAACAAGUUCCCAGGUGAUGCUGC